rnacentral:rRNA from 1 species
GGGCUUGACAUCCCACGAACCUGGUGGAAACACUGAGGUGCCUUCGGGAGCGCCAAGACAGGUGGUGCAUGGUUGUCGUCAGCUCGUGUCGUGAGAUGUUGGGUUAAGUCCCGCAACGAGCGCAACCCCUGCUAUUAGUUGCUAACAUUUAAGGUGAGCACUCUAAUGGGACUGCCCGCGUCAAGCUGGAGGAAGGCG